UUCAUCUCUGACUUGUGUAAGCUCAUGGAAACGGUCUGCCUUGUUUUUUCAAAUUAAAAGCUUCUCCUGUUUCCUAAGGAGAUCUCUGAAUGAUGCAUUUUAAUGGAAACCUGCAAAUCUGUUCCAGCCCAUCUCUUCUACAUUGUGAAAUCCAGCAUUUACUAAUGGUAUUUGGCAUCACUAGCAACUCUUUUAUGUACACAAAGGCUUUGGAAAUCAGUGCACUACUAGUUUUAGUACAAGACUUCAAAGUAAGACCAUAGUGACAUGUAGGGGAAGCAUAUCCAAAUAUAAGCAGCCAUGGGUAGUAGACACAGGAAAGCACUUCCGUUUUCUAAUAUUCCACUGCAUGUGCAGGAACCAGCAAAAAUAUUUAUUAUCUAAUUGGGAUGAACUAACAUGGAUGUUCCUGGGACUUCUGAAGUGGUAAUUUCAAAUUCGGCAUUCAUAGAGGCAGAAAGAAGUCACAAACUGCAACUUACAUUUAUUUGUCAUGGAAUAAAGGUCUGUAGAACAGAACAGCAAGAUCUAGAAUACUUGAAGACUACAAGCAGUGAAGAAUGGAUUCACUGAAGCAGGCUAAGGAAGCACAAAUAUUACAUCUACCUGCAAAGCCUCUGCUUGCCCAAGAGGCUUUCAACUCUGAAACUAUUGAGCUUGCUCCUGCCCCUGAUUGUGUAUGACCUCUAAAGAGGAUAUACAGCUGCUUGGUCAGUUCUGAAGGAGAUAAAUAGGGAUCAUUCUCUUUUUCCUUUUUUUUUGUCCUUGCAAAACUUUUCCCACUGAGUGGCUCUGGCCACUGACACCAGUCCCUGAAUCCUCUGCUCUUCAGCAGAUAAGGGCUGUAGUUGGGGUCCAGUUUCACAAAUUCUGUGUAAUUUCUAACCACCUUCUCUUGAGCUGGAAUGGAAGAGAUUUGAAAGCUGGGCACUCUCUGCCUCAGAGGAAUUUGGUGUAGGAUUUACAUUUAUAGAAAUCUCUCCCUGUAAUGCCACCACUGGUGGGGACAUCCAAAAUUAAUGCAUAGUUAAAAACACAAGCUACAUGAAUUUGGGUGAAAUUAGCAAUGCUACUGAGAUCAACAGCACACAAAAAUACACACACAGUAUAUUUUUGCUGUUACAAGCACAGAGAGAAAUGGAUUGUUCACUCAUUGACCUGGUGCAGCUGGUCAGACUAGUAAUGAUCACUUUGGUAAACACCUCUCAUUCCUGGCUUUUCUGCCACGUACAGGUUGUGCUCUCCUAUAUUAAAAGCCGCCACAAAGAACUCUCCAAAGCAAUAUUGUGCCUCUUACAGAACCUAGGUGGUUUAUGUAUGAAAAAUAAGGAGCUGCUGGCACUCUGCUGUGCUAUCAGAGGAGAAAGUGGAGUUAAAGGGUUUUCUGAAGGGCGAGGAGUUGUGUGGCAACAUGCAGCACAUGUGAUACGCCAACAAAAGCAAUCAGUGGCACAGACAUGACACAGACAUGCACCAGGCAUGGGGACAAAAUGGAGAACAGGGACAAUAGCAGGAAGCCAGAACAAUCCUUGCAGCAGAAAAGGGGGAAAAUUACAUUCAUCAAGUACCUCUAUAGAUUUGCUUUGUGAGAAUGUGAAACAAAAGGAAAUGCUUUGAUGCUCAGCUUUCAGGAUCACUAAAUACAUCCUGGGAAUCAUUGUAAUUGUUAUCCCCAUGUUCCACUCAAACAAUUAGUGCUCUGCCUUCUCUUUACAUUAGAAAGGCGUGAUUUGCAAGUUUUGUGGAAAAAAAAAAAAAAAAAAAAAAAAAA
ensembl:lncRNA